CGUGCUAUAAAUCCUCGGCCUUUCACGGCUGCACACAAACACACAUACAUACGAGUAACCUCAGCCAAGUUGGUUAAAUUUUAAACUUUUGAAUACUAUGUUA